UUCAUCACCCAUCCAGAGAAGUACUCUGGGCGCGUGAGCUUCCGGUCUCCGGGCUUGGCAGUGAACGUGGAGCUCGGGCUGAGCUUCGGGCCUGGGAAGGGAAUCACAGGACGUACUCCGCUUUGCAACCCGGUUCUUCCAUUCACCGGCAGGACCCGAGUUUCUGCACCACCCAGAGCCCCUGCCCCACCGGUACUCGGGGCGUGUUUCCUAGCAGCUGUUCGAAGGGUGGGAUCUCAGCCCCAAUCCCCAGAACAUGCCUUUCCCCAGGAUUCCCAGGGGGUUCCUCGGCACAGCACGGUUUGGGAAGCAGUCCCAAAGCCCCCUUUCUGAAAGCGGCCCCUUGCCCCAUGGCAGGGAUACGCUCACCCUUCUAAGCCAGGCCUGUAUUAGGGAACGCAGAGGUGGGUUCCGAGUUGUGAUGUCAUAAACAACACCACAAUAAAUACAUCUUGAAGAGCUAAAGCCCGGGGUACAUGGUGGAUUUUAUAUUCCAGGUGCUCCCCUGAGCUCUGCUCCCUACCCCCCACCCGCCCCGCCCCAUUGGCUCCCCUUCUCCCUGGAACAUUCUGGUGGGGUAGGGACCAUCGGCAUCCUUGUUCUGCAGAUGAACAAGUGGAGACUUGGGGGCAAGGGUGACAACACCGUCCCACGUGUCACAAACAGCAGUCAAGCCGGGGCCCAACCUGGCCUGGCUGGGGCCUUUGGGCCACGCCCGUCCUCCUGGCCCUUGCCGUAGACUGCUGAUCUGGGGGCACAAGAAUGAGGCCUCCGAGAUGGGAAGACUGCUGGGGAGGUCAGCUUUGCCAAGCAGACGGAGGAAGGGGUUAGGGCCCGGGCCCUUCCCUAGCUCCUGUGGUUUGCAAAACUCUCCUGGAUUAUUGGCCGAUUUAUCCUGACAUCCACCACGAAGCCAAGCGGUGAAGGCACUUUUCUGGAAAUAAACAAAUGCAAAUGAA